AAAUAUUUGUCAUUUUACUUAAAAAUUUUCUUUCGGAUUUUUCCCAAUUAUUUCAAUAAAUUCUGGAAAAUCAAAAAAUCACGAUGCACAAACAAAAAAUAAUUACCUUUUAGAAAAGGUGCUAUGGUCUAUACUUCGGAACAAGUUUCCCGUAUAAAAGUUGAACAUAAACACAAAAAAAAUGCAAAGUAAAACCAUUGGAUACCAACGGUACUACUUCGCACGAUGGAUGGAUCACUGUUGAAGGAGAGAAGUUGAGAAGGUUAAUAAGAAAUUGUACCUGUAUGUAACGAUUAAAGAUUCUGAGUGGAGUUCAGUUAAUAGUGUUGCUUUGUCAACAAAAUUAUAUAUCAUAUUAUGGUAAAAUAAUUCUAUAUGCCUAUGC